GUAAGGGAAUUUUUCACAAUGAGCGAAAGCUUGAUGGAGCAAUGCCGCGUGAACGAUGAAGGUCUUUAAGAUUGUAAAGUUCUUUUAUUUGGGAAGAAUGACUUUAGCAGGUAAUGGCUAGAGUUUGACUGUACCAUUUUGAAUAAGUGACGACUAACUAUGUGCCAGCAGUCGCGGUAAUACAUAGGUCGCAAGCGUUAUCCGGAUUUAUUGGGCGUAAAGCAAGCGCAGGCGGAUUGAAAAGUCUGGUGUUAAAGGCAGCUGCUUAACAGUUGUAUGCAUUGGAAACUAUUAAUCUAGAGUGUGGUAGGGAGUUUUGGAAUUUCAUGUGGAGCGGUGAAAUGCGUAGAUAUAUGAAGGAACACCAGUGGCGAAGGCGAAAACUUAGGCCAUUACUGACGCUUAGGCUUGAAAGUGUGGGGAGCAAAUAGGAUUAGAUACCCUAGUAGUCCACACCGUAAACGAUAGAUACUAGCUGUCGGGGCGAUCCCCUCGGUAGUGAAGUUAACACAUUAAGUAUCUCGCCUGGGUAGUACAUUCGCAAGAAUGA
rnacentral:rRNA from 1 species